CAACCAACACUUGGCACAGUUCUUGAAGGUUUUGUGUAAGGGAUAAGGACUGGACCUUUGAUUUCAUUGGUUAAAAGGAAUUCUCAGUUGUUCUGUUCUCGUUUCAUCAGAGCAGAUGGAAUAUAACUGGGUCCCAAACAUUCCUGAUGUGACGAUGAAAGGAAGGAGGGUUUCAGAACACAGCAAGAUGAGAAGAAUCACAGUGGUAGGUAGGGCAAAUGAGCUGCAUUUUGUCCAGGCUUCUUCAAAGCAAUACAAGAAAUGAAAUCCCACCAGGAUGAGAGCAUGCAGGACAAUAAAUGAGUGCUAUAUACAUUGUAAA